CCUCAAAUUUAUGUUAGUGGCCUCGGGUUUACUUCACAGACGCCAGACUUACGUCAGUGGCCCCGGCUUACAGCUGUGGCCUUGGAUUCACCUCUAUGGCCCUAGUUUUGACUGCCACUGGGCGCAGGUCCUGGCUGUGGUGGCCGCAGGGUCUGAGGUUCGAGGCCCCCAGGACUGUACACAACUGCCUCGGUGAAAAGCAGGUGUCUGAGGGUCUGGUUUGGAGUCAGCCGGAGUCUCUUGCUGACUGAGACUGUCCCAUUAGGGAUGCUGUUAGGUUUGGGCAAACCCUGAACGGCAACACAGACUCGGCCCAGUGUCCGCAUGUCCACGGUCGCCUCAGCUUCGUUCACAGCAGCCGCGGCCGCAGGCCCAGGUGUCCGUGAGGGGUGGGCCAGUGCAGACGCAGGGUGUUCACACACGCACGACGGGACACUACUCGGCGGGGAAGGAGAACGUGCAGCCGUUAGGGCCUCAGAUUCACACGUGUAAAUUACAGAAAAACAAAAUUCUGCCAGAAAAUUGUAUGGAAACUGUUCUCAAGUAUUUCCGCACAGCUGAGCAGAGGGAAAGAAGGCCCAGGAGGCACCCAGGUCGAUCACACCUGGUGUUAAAAAUCCUGAGGAACCCUGGCUGAUGACACAGCAGAUCUGAUUUGUAAUAAAUAUGAGGAACAAGUUACGAAUGAAGACUGGACAUUGGCUUCCUGCAUGUUUCCUCCCGGUGCAGAUUUUAGAACAAAGAAUUAGGAGACAGAUUUCCUUGUUCAAACCCACGAUCCACCACUGCCUUCCUGUGGGACCAGAGGUUGAUGUUGGGUCACACAGGGAGAGGGUGCCGAGCCCACGGGCUGCACUGGCAGCUGCAGGAAGGACGGUUCAGACAGGCUUCAGUCGCUUUCUGCAAGGGAACCCGGUGGGCCUAGCGGCACAGCUGCGUCCUCCUGUCAUAACGGCGGGAACAGAAGACACCUUUGGGACAGAGUGAUCCUUCCCUCUGGUCGCCAUUGCACACCGUCUGUCUGUGCUUUGCAAGGCUGCUAUUUUCAUAAAGAUGGAUUAUUUAUGUUUACAAUCGAU
ensembl:lncRNA